rnacentral:lncRNA from 1 species
AUCCUAUAUUUUCUUAGCUGACAUGCAUGUUGAAAUACGAUUGAAUUCAUUAGCAUCUAGAGCACAAUAUAAAACAUUCAUGGCUUUUGCAUUAAGUUGAGCCAUUUUCUUGUCAACCUCAUCCCAUUCUUUUUCGGAUUUGGUUGAUUCCACACCAUCAAUUAUUUUAGUGGAUGUGUGUGGUCCAUUUACUAUGAUACUCC